rnacentral:misc_RNA from 1 species
CCGAGUGCCGGGCGCAAGCCCGUACCCGCAUACCCUCUGUCGACCCUCCGCAGUUGCUUCGGCGGGCGGGCCCCCUCCCGGGGCCCCCCGCCGGAGGACCUUCGUAAACGCAUGGCAAACCGGUCUGUCCGAGGCUAUACGCGAAUCAGUCA